CCUACGGGGGGCAGCAGUGGGGAAUAUUGGACAAUGGGGGGAACCCUGAUCCAGCCAUGCCGCGUGUGUGAAGAAGGCCCUCGGGUUGUAAAGCACUUUCAGUGAGGAAGAACGCCUGGUGGUUAAUACCCAUCAGGAAAGACAUCACUCACAGAAGAAGCACCGGCUAACUCCGUGCCAGCAGCCGCGGUAAUACGGAGGGUGCGAGCGUUAAUCGGAAUUACUGGGCGUAAAGCGCGCGUAGGUGGCUUGAUAAGCCGGUUGUGAAAGCCACGGGCUCAACCUGGGAACGGCAUCCGGAACUGUCAAGCUAGAGUGCAGGAGAGGAAGGUAGAAUUCCCGGUGUAGCGGUGAAAUGCGUAGAGAUCGGGAGGAAUACCAGUGGCGAAGGCGGCCUUCUGGACUGACACUGACACUGAGGUGCGAAAGCGUGGGUAGCAAACAGGAUUAGAUACCCCAGUAGUC
rnacentral:rRNA from 1 species